GAUGAACGCUGGCGGCGUGCCUAACACAUGCAAGUCGAGCGGGAUUUUCUGGAUUGAAGCUUCGGCAGAUUGAAGGAAAUGAGAGCGGCGGACGGGUGAGUAACGCGUAGGCAACCUGCCCUUUGCAGAGGGAUAGCCAUUGGAAACGAUGAUUAAAACCUCAUAAUACCGAGGAAAGACAUCUUACUUCGGUCAAAGAUUUAUCGGCAAAGGAUGGGCCUGCGUCUGAUUAGCUAGUUGGUGAGGUAACGGCUCACCAAGGCGACGAUCAGUAGCCGGUCUGAGAGGAUGAACGGCCACAUUGGGACUGAGACACGGCCCAGACUCCUACGGGAGGCAGCAGUGGGGAAUCUUCCGCAAUGGACGAAAGUCUGACGGAGCAAUGCCGCGUGAGGAAGAAGGCCUUCGGGUU
rnacentral:rRNA from 1 species